rnacentral:lncRNA from 1 species
UGUAUUCUGAGCCCUCUGCCUUCUGCAGAGAUCUCAGGUGCUGGCGCUAGCACUGGGUAUCUGAUUAAAUCUUAAAUUGUCAUCUGAGUCUGGAGUGCUGAACUCAGCAUUCCUCACUGGGCAGCACUGGAGGAUGAGCAGACCGGGGAGUCCUGAGGAAGAAAAGGAGGCAGCAGAGAAGGGACAGCCCAGGCCUGUGGCUGCCACAGCUCCAACCUCCCAGCAAGGAAGCACUUGUGUGAGGAGAGCCCUCCCUCUCUACAUGCAGCUGGAGACCGAGCCACAGCCAUGUCUGCAAUGUGCUUUUACUUAAAAGAGCAAAGACUGAAGUAAAUGCGGCAAAAGCUACAGCCGAUAAAGUUGGAUAGGGGGCGGGUGGUUCUUACGUAUUUAUCCAAUUUUUAUCUAUAACUUUCUUAGUGUUUGAAAUAUUUUAUGACAAUUUCUUAAAAAGAAGGGGAGGAAAACAAUUGCUCACCUGAUCAUAGACCCUCUGAUAAUCCCCUGCUUUCAGCAGCUCAGCCCACCCCUCUCUCCUUGACUGUUCUCUUCCAUCUUUGAUCUCAUCAUCCAUUGAUAUUUUUCUUCUCAAACUAGAACCCACAUGGAUCCCAAAUCUAUAUCCAGCCCAGACACCCUCUCUGAUCCAACUUCUUAUUAGAUAUCUCCACUGAGGUGUUUCUCCGACACCUCAUCCUCAAGACAUCCAAAACCCCCCCCUCCAAAUGCUUGUUGCCCACAGCUGGAAAGACUCGUUGAGAGAAGACACAUACCCAAGCAUCUUGUUGAGACUUUUGAAUGCUGAUGAUAAAGAAAAAAAUCUUUCAACCUUUUUAACAACAGAAAAGUUUUUCUACAAAUAAAAAAUCAACCUGA